ncrna:unclassified sequences Glutamine-II riboswitch (downstream peptide RNA)
UCACGUUCACCUCGUUUUCAGCGAGGCGCAGUUCGACUCAGGCCAUGGAACGGGGACCUGAG